rnacentral:tRNA from 1 species
GCCGGGUUAGCUCAGUCGGUUAGAGCAUGGUGCUAAUAACACCAAGUUCACAGGUUCAAUCCCUGCUUACUGCA